rnacentral:rRNA from 1 species
GGGUUGUGAGGUUAAGCGACUAAGCGUACACGGUGGAUGCCCUGGCAGUCAGAGGCGAUGAAGGACGUGCUAAUCUGCGAUAAGCGUCGGUAAGGUGAUAUGAACCGUUAUAACCGGCGAUUUCCGAAUGGGGAAACCCAGUGUGAUUCGUCACACUAUCAUUAACUGAAUCCAUAGGUUAAUGAGGCGAACCGGGGGAACUGAAACAUCUAAGUACCCCGAGGAAAAGAAAUCAACCGAGAUUCCCCCAGUAGCGGCGAGCGAACGGGGAGCAGCCCAGAGCCUGAAUCAGUGUGUGUGUUAGUGGAAGCGUCUGGAAAGGCGUGCGAUACAGGGUGACAGCCCCGUACACAAAAAUGCACAUAUUGUGAGCUCGAUGAGUAGGGCGGGACACGUGGUAUCCUGUCUGAAUAUGGGGGGACCAUCCUCCAAGGCUAAAUACUCCUGACUGACCGAUAGUGAACCAGUACCGUGAGGGAAAGGCGAAAAGAACCCCGGCGAGGGGAGUGAAAAAGAACCUGAAACCGUGUACGUACAAGCAGUGGGAGCACGCUUAGGCGUGUGACUGCGUACCUUUUGUAUAAUGGGUCAGCGACUUAUAUUCUGUAGCAAGGUUAACCGAAUAGGGGAGCCGAAGGGAAACCGAGUCUUAACUGGGCGUUAAGUUGCAGGGUAUAGACCCGAAACCCGGUGAUCUAGCCAUGGGCAGGUUGAAGGUUGGGUAACACUAACUGGAGGACCGAACCGACUAAUGUUGAAAAAUUAGCGGAUGACUUGUGGCUGGGGGUGAAAGGCCAAUCAAACCGGGAGAUAGCUGGUUCUCCCCGAAAGCUAUUUAGGUAGCGCCUCGUGAAUUCAUCUCCGGGGGUAGAGCACUGUUUCGGCAAGGGGGUCAUCCCGACUUACCAACCCGAUGCAAACUGCGAAUACCGGAGAAUGUUAUCACGGGAGACACACGGCGGGUGCUAACGUCCGUCGUGAAGAGGGAAACAACCCAGACCGCCAGCUAAGGUCCCAAAGUCAUGGUUAAGUGGGAAACGAUGUGGGAAGGCCCAGACAGCCAGGAUGUUGGCUUAGAAGCAGCCAUCAUUUAAAGAAAGCGUAAUAGCUCACUGGUCGAGUCGGCCUGCGCGGAAGAUGUAACGGGGCUAAACCAUGCACCGAAGCUGCGGCAGCGACACUAUGUGUUGUUGGGUAGGGGAGCGUUCUGUAAGCCUGUGAAGGUGUACUGUGAGGUAUGCUGGAGGUAUCAGAAGUGCGAAUGCUGACAUAAGUAACGAUAAAGCGGGUGAAAAGCCCGCUCGCCGGAAGACCAAGGGUUCCUGUCCAACGUUAAUCGGGGCAGGGUGAGUCGACUCCUAAGGCGAGGCCGAAAGGCGUAGUCGAUGGGAAACAGGUUAAUAUUCCUGUACUUGGUGUUACUGCGAAGGGGGGACGGAGAAGGCUAUGUUGGCCGGGCGACGGUUGUCCCGGUUUAAGCGUGUAGGCUGGUUUUCCAGGCAAAUCCGGAAAACUAAGGCUGAGGCGUGAUGACGAGGCACUACGGUGCUGAAGCAACAAAUGCCCUGCUUCCAGGAAAAGCCUCUAAGCAUCAGGUAACAUCAAAUCGUACCCCAAACCGACACAGGUGGUCAGGUAGAGAAUACCAAGGCGCUUGAGAGAACUCGGGUGAAGGAACUAGGCAAAAUGGUGCCGUAACUUCGGGAGAAGGCACGCUGAUAUGUAGGUGAAGUCCCUCGCGGAUGGAGCUGAAAUCAGUCGAAGAUACCAGCUGGCUGCAACUGUUUAUUAAAAACACAGCACUGUGCAAACACGAAAGUGGACGUAUACGGUGUGACGCCUGCCCGGUGCCGGAAGGUUAAUUGAUGGGGUCAGCGCAAGCGAAGCUCUUGAUCGAAGCCCCGGUAAACGGCGGCCGUAACUAUAACGGUCCUAAGGUAGCGAAAUUCCUUGUCGGGUAAGUUCCGACCUGCACGAAUGGCGUAAUGAUGGCCAGGCUGUCUCCACCCGAGACUCAGUGAAAUUGAACUCGCUGUGAAGAUGCAGUGUACCCGCGGCAAGACGGAAAGACCCCGUGAACCUUUACUAUAGCUUGACACUGAACAUUGAGCCUUGAUGUGUAGGAUAGGUGGGAGGCUUUGAAGUGUGGACGCCAGUCUGCAUGGAGCCGACCUUGAAAUACCACCCUUUAAUGUUUGAUGUUCUAACGUUGACCCGUAAUCCGGGUUGCGGACAGUGUCUGGUGGGUAGUUUGACUGGGGCGGUCUCCUCCUAAAGAGUAACGGAGGAGCACGAAGGUUGGCUAAUCCUGGUCGGACAUCAGGAGGUUAGUGCAAUGGCAUAAGCCAGCUUGACUGCGAGCGUGACGGCGCGAGCAGGUGCGAAAGCAGGUCAUAGUGAUCCGGUGGUUCUGAAUGGAAGGGCCAUCGCUCAACGGAUAAAAGGUACUCCGGGGAUAACAGGCUGAUACCGCCCAAGAGUUCAUAUCGACGGCGGUGUUUGGCACCUCGAUGUCGGCUCAUCACAUCCUGGGGCUGAAGUAGGUCCCAAGGGUAUGGCUGUUCGCCAUUUAAAGUGGUACGCGAGCUGGGUUUAGAACGUCGUGAGACAGUUCGGUCCCUAUCUGCCGUGGGCGCUGGAGAACUGAGGGGGGCUGCUCCUAGUACGAGAGGACCGGAGUGGACGCAUCACUGGUGUUCGGGUUGUCAUGCCAAUGGCACUGCCCGGUAGCUAAAUGCGGAAGAGAUAAGUGCUGAAAGCAUCUAAGCACGAAACUUGCCCCGAGAUGAGUUCUCCCUGACUCCUUGAGAGUCCUGAAGGAACGUUGAAGACGACGACGUUGAUAGGCCGGGUGUGUAAGCGCAGCGAUGCGUUGAGCUAACCGGUACUAAUGAACCG